UAUCUAUAUAGGUCCACAAUAUCGUAUAGCCUCCAUAUAACGGUACCCCCCGGUAUUCGGCAUUUUGAUGAUUUUAGCCACAUUAUAUACUAAAUCAUCAAAAUAUCGAAUAUCGGAGGGUACCGUUAUAUGGAGUAUAUACGAUAUCGUGGACCUAUAUAGACAAUUCUCUUUCAGGGGGUGAAAUACUCACAAAGGACUCUUUGUGUGUUACGUACCACCUGAUACAGCGCUAUGGUGGGGUUCCAUCUAGCUCAGUCGGGGCACCAAUUUAGGGUUGAAUUCCCAACCCUGCCACCAUCAGCUCUAGGGGUCGAACAAUCAAAAGGAACAACAUGAAAAUUAAAACAAACGAAUCGAAAUAAAACUUCAAAACGCAUGCGACCAUAACACGGGAAAUUGAUGUUAAUAAUUCCCACACAUAGCCCACCCAACCUUGACCCUUAGAUCCUCAUCAAAGAUUUCAAUUCAAUUUAUGUUUGUUAAUAAGCACUCAGCCUCUGGGCAUAGAUACUCCAAAAAGAAAUGUUCCUUAAGGCCGGUCUUCAUAUAAAAACACAAAUUGGAACAAUUUUCGACAAGAGUUAAAUUUAAUGUCAACGCAAAUUAUGCCGCCAAUUAAUAGGAACCUAUCAAAUGGACAAAUCGACGAUGUUAUCGAAGACUUUAACUGCGAACUUCUUCGAAUUCACAACAACCAUUCACAAAAAAUUGCCCUAAAUAUCCAUAAACCGCCUUUCUCCGAUAAGGUUCAGAAUUUUCUCAAAGUUAAACAUAGAUGGCAGAAGGAACUAAAGAAGAUUUACCACCGUACUGGAAAUAGGAUAAGCCCUGAAUACGCUAUACUUUCUAAGCAAAUCCAACUUCUUAAAAUUAUCAUUCAAAAUCUAAUCAAUACUGAAUCUGCGCAGGCGUUCAGUAAUAAAUUGAAAGCUAUCAAACCCGGGCCAUCAGCAUUUAAAAAAGUAGCUCAACUUACCGGCAAAAAUAAAUCAUCAUUUUGCGAAAAACUUCAAAUAGGAAAUGAAACCAUUACGGAAAGUUCAGAAAUUGCUAAUAAUUUUAAACAAUUUUAUUCUGAAAAUUUUCAAGAAAAUGUGCCCACAAAUCCUGUAGAUGAUCUUAGCUCUAGAGUCACAGCAUGCAUCAACGCCGUUCCACCGCACAUCUACUUAUUUGAUGAUAACUUCAAUUCAUUAAACAAUCCAGACUCUGUUCACUUUACCAAUCCUGAAAAGAUAAAAAUCGCAAUUAAUAAUAUCAAUUGUAAAAAAUCAAGCGGCCCUGAUGAGAUUUCCAAUUUUCUCAUUAAAAAGUUCCCAGAUAAUGUUAUAAAUCUGCUUACAUGUCUCUUCAACAACUGCAUUAACAAUGGAUAUUUCCCAUCACUGUGGAAAUUGGCGAAAAU